UACGUAGGGCGCAAGCGUUGUCCGGAAUUAUUGGGCGUAAAGAGCUCGUAGGCGGCUUGUCACGUCGGGUGUGAAAGCCCGGGGCUUAACCCCGGGUCUGCAUUCGAUACGGGCAGGCGUAGAGUGUGGUAGGGGAGAGUCGGAAUUCCUGGUGUAGCGGUGAAAUGCGCAGAUAUCAGGAAGAACACCUAUGGCGAAGGCAGCUCUCUGGGACGGUACUGACGCUGAGACGCGAAAGCGUGGGGAGCGAACAGG
rnacentral:rRNA from 1 species